GCAUAUCAAUAAGCGGAGGAAAAGAAACUAACAAGGAUUCCCCUAGUAACGGCGAGUGAAGCGGGAAGAGCUCAAAUUUGUAAUCUGGCACCUUCGGUGUCCGAGUUGUAAUCUCGAGAAGUGUUUUCCGCGUCGGACUGCAUACAAGUCUAUUGGAAUAUAGCGUCAUAGUGGUGAGAGCCCCGUAACUGAUGCAGAUGCCCGAUGCUUUGUGAUACACUUUCGAAGAGUCGAGUUGUUUGGGAAUGCAGCUCAAAUUGGGUGGUAAAUUCCAUCUAAAGCUAAAUAUUGGCGAGAGACCGAUAGCGAACAAGUACCGUGAGGGAAAGAUGAAAAGCACUUUGGAAAGAGAGUUAACAGUACGUGAAAUUGUUGGAAGGGAAACGCUUGAAGUCAGACUUGCUAUUUGGAAUUCAGCCGCAAGGUGUACUUUUCAAUUUGCAGGCCAGCAUCAGUUUUUGGGGGUGGAAAAGGGUUGAGAAAAGGUAGCAGUUUCGGCUGUGUUAUAGUUCUUGGCUGGAUUCAUCUUUGGGGACUGAGGAACGCAGUGUGCCGCAAGGCAAUUCUUUCGAGGAUUUCACACUUAGGAUGCUGGUGGAAUGGCUUUAAACGACCCGUCUUGAAACACGGACC
rnacentral:rRNA from 1 species